rnacentral:rRNA from 1 species
UACAGAGGGGGCAAGCGUUGUUCGGAAUUACUGGGCGUAAAGGGCGCGUAGGCGGCCUUCUAAGUCGAACGUGAAAUCCCCGGGCUCAACCCGGGAACUGCGUCCGAUACUGGAAGGCUUGAAUCCGGGAGAGGGAUGUGGAAUUCCAGGUGUAGCGGUGAAAUGCGUAGAUAUCUGGAGGAACACCGGUGGCGAAGGCGGUUCUCUGGGCCUUACCUGACGCUGAGGAGCGAAAGCAUGGGGAGCAAACAGG